AUUGAACGCUGGCGGCAGGCCUAACACAUGCAAGUCGAGCGGAGCGGCGGACGGGUGAGUAAUGCCUAGGAAUCUGCCUGGUAGUGGGGGAAAACGUCCGGAAACGGGCGCUAAUACCGCAUACUAUCAGAUGAGCCUAGGUCGGAUUAGCUAGUUGGUGGGGUAAAGGCCUACCAAGGCGACGAGCCCUAGCUGGUCUGAGAGGAUGACCAGCGACACUGGAACUUGGACACGGUCCAGACUCCUACGGGAGGCAGCAGUGGGGAAUAGUGCGCAAUGGGCGCAAGCCUUAUGCAGCCAUGCCACGUGUAUGAAGAAGGCCUUGGGGUUGUAAAGUACGUUCAGCGGGGAGGCGUUACCCGCAGAAGAAGCACCGGCUAACUCCGUGCCAGCAGCCGCGGUAAUUC
rnacentral:rRNA from 1 species